CACCAAUCUAACCAUAUUAAACAAGCUAGGAGCCAUGACUGCGUUCUAUCUUUGCAAAUUUUGAGAGAGAUUUGAAAGAUCAGUAGAAAUUAGUACUAAUGUAAUAGUUCAAAUGCAAUGAUAAGUUAUCCCUUGAAUUAUAUCUCAGACACUGUGUUGGAAAUUUAAUGCUGAUCCAUUACAUAUAGAUUAUCAUUUUACAUCGUUGUUUAAAACAUUUUGAACGCAUGUAAGCAAUUAUUUUCUCAGCCCAGAGACAUAGCCCAAAGACUUAACAUCAACGUCCUUGUAAUUUUAUAGAGAUAGAUCCAGAACUAAGGAUAUUAGAAGGAAUUAUCUGUACCUUCUCAAAGUUGU